UGCUAUGUGGAGAGUCUGCUGAGGCC
rnacentral:piRNA from 2 species